UACGUAGGGUGCAAGCGUUGUCCGGAAUUAUUGGGCGUAAAGCGCACGUAGGCGGUCUGUUAUGUCGGAUGUGAAAGCCCUCGGCUCAACCGAGGAACUGCAUCCGAUACUGGCGGGCUUGAAUCCGGGAGAGGGAUGUGGAAUUCCAGGUGUAGCGGUGAAAUGCGUAGAUAUCUGGAGGAAUACCAGAGGCGAAGGCGGCUCCCUGGACAAUUGCUGACACUCAGGCACGAAAGCGUGGGGAGCAAAAGGG
rnacentral:rRNA from 1 species